rnacentral:piRNA from 1 species
UGGCACGGGCAGCUGCCUGUGAUGUGU